GUGCCAGCCGCCGCGGUAAGACGAACCGUCCGAACGUUAUUCGGAAUCACUGGGCUUAAAGGGUGCGUAGGCGGCGCGGAAAGUUGGGUGUGAAAUCCCUCGGCUCAACCGAGGAACUGCGCCCAAAACUACCGUGCUCGAGGGAGAUAGAGGUGAGCGGAACUUAGGGUGGAGCGGUGAAAUGCGUUGAUAUCCUAAGGAACACCGGUGGCGAAAGCGGCUCACUGGAUCUCUUCUGACGCUGAGGCACGAAAGCUAGGGGAGCGAACGGGAUUAGAAACCCUCGUAGUCC
rnacentral:rRNA from 1 species